CGGGGUGUGGCUCAGUUUGGUAGAGCGCUUCGUUCGGGACGAAGAGGCCGCGUGUUCGAAUCACGUCACCCCGA
rnacentral:tRNA from 1 species